GAUGAACGCUAGCGAUAGGCUUAACACAUGCAAGUCGAGGGGCAGCACAAGGUAGCUUGCUCUCUGGGUGGCGACCGGCGCACGGGUGCGUAACGCGUAUGCAACUUGCCCUAUACAGGAGGAUAACCCGUCGAAAGACGGACUAAUACUGCGUAUGCUCACAACUUGGCAUCAAGUGGUGAGGAAAGAAAUUCGGUAUAGGAUAGGCAUGCGUCCCAUUAGCUUGUUGGUGAGGUAACGGCUCACCAAGGCAACGAUGGGUAGGGGAACUGAGAGGUUUAUCCCCCACACUGGUACUGAGACACGGACCAGACUCCUACGGGAGGCAGCAGUGAGGAAUAGUGGGCAAUGGGCGCGAGCCUGAACCAGCCAAGUCGCGUGAAGGAGGACUGUCUUAUGGAUUGUAAACUUCUUUUAGACGGGAAUAACAAGAGUCACGUGUGACUCCCUGCAUGUACCGGAUGAAUAAGCAUCGGCUAACUCCGUG
rnacentral:rRNA from 1 species